GAGUUCCACUAAUCAAGUUUUGAGUGUUCGAAAAUCAAAAACUUGACACGUUGAGCUCGU
rnacentral:pre_miRNA from 1 species